GAUGUAGCUCAGUGGUAGAAUGCUUGCCUAACAUGCUUGAGGCCCUGGGUUCAACCCCAGCACA
rnacentral:tRNA from 1 species